GGACCCGACUGCUAUCCGAGUGAGAUUAAGCCAUGCAAGUCGAAUGGGAUACCAAAAAUUCCCAUGGCGGACUGCUCAGUAAUACGUGAUCAACUUACCCUGUGGAGGGGAAUACUCUCGGGAAACUGAGUCUAAUCCCCCAUAGUUGAGAAUUCCUGGAAUGGUUUUUCAAUCAAAGAGGCAUCCAAAUGGGGAUGUUAUCGCCACAGGAUAGGAUCACGCCCGAGUAUGGCUGUUGGUGAGGUAACGGCUCACCAAACCUGUAAUCGGUAAGGGUCGUGAGAGCGGGAGCCCUGAGAUGGGCAAAGAGACAAGUGCCUACGUCUUACGAGAUG
rnacentral:rRNA from 1 species